UACGGAGGGGGCAAGCGUUGUUCGGAAUUACUGGGCGUAAAGCGCGCGUAGGCGGUUGGGUAAGUCAGAUGUGAAAGCCCUCAGCUCAACUGGGGAACUGCGUCUGAUAGUGCUCGGCUUGAGUCCGAUAGGGGAUGGCGGUAUUCCCGGUGUAGCGGUGGAAUGCGUAGAUAUCGGGAGGAAUAACGAUGGCGAAGACGGCCAUCUGGGUCGGUACUGACGCUGAGGCGAGUCAGCUAGGGGAGCUACCAGG
rnacentral:rRNA from 1 species